rnacentral:rRNA from 1 species
GACGUAGGGCGCGAGCGUUGUCCGGAUUUAUUGGGCGUAAAGAGCUCGUAGGCGGCUUGUCACGUCGGGUGUGAAAGCUCGGGGCUUAACCCCGGGUCUGCAUUCGAUACGGGCUGGCUGGAGUGUGGUAGGGGAGAUCGGAAUUCCUGGUGUAGCGGUGAAAUGCGCAGAUAUCAGGAGGAACACCGGUGGCGAAGGCGGAUCUCUGGGCCAUUACUGACGCUGAGGAGCGAAAGCGUGGGGAGCGAACAGG